CCUACGGGAGGCAGCAGUGAGGAAUAUUGGUCAAUGGGCGGGAGCCUGAACCAGCCAAGUCGCGUGAGGGACGACGGUCCUAUGGAUUGUAAACCUCUUUUGUCGGGGAACAAAGGCGCCCACGGGUGGGCGGAUGAGUGUACCCGACGAAAAAGCAUCGGCUAACUCCGUGCCAGCAGCCGCGGUAAUACGGAGGAUGCGAGCGUUAUCCGGAUUUAUUGGGUUUAAAGGGUGCGUAGGCGGACGGUUAAGUCAGCGGUAAAAAUGCGGUGCUCAACGCCGUACAGCCGUUGAAACUGGCAGUCUGGAGUGGGCGAGAAGUAUGCGGAAUGCGUGGUGUAGCGGUGAAAUGCAUAGAGAUCACGCAGAACUCCGAUUGCGAAGGCAGCAUACCGGCGCCCUACUGACGCUGAGGCACGAAAGCGUGGGUAGCGAACAGGAGUAGAUACCCCGGUAGUC
rnacentral:rRNA from 1 species